AUUGAACGCUGGCGGCAGGCUUAACACAUGCAAGUCGAACGAUGACUCUCUAGCUUGCUAGAGAAGAUUAGUGGCGGACGGGUGAGUAACAUUUAGGAAUCUGCCUAGUAGUGGGGGAUAGCUCGGGGAAACUCGAAUUAAUACCGCAUACGACCUACGGGUGAAAGGGGGCGCAAGCUCUUGCUAUUAGAUGAGCCUAAAUCAGAUUAGCUAGUUGGUGGGGUAAAGGCCCACCAAGGCGACGAUCUGUAACUGGUCUGAGAGGAUGAUCAGUCACACCGGAACUGAGACACGGUCCGGACUCCUACGGGAGGCAGCAGUGGGGAAUAUUGGACAAUGGGGGCAACCCUGAUCCAGCCAUGCCGCGUGUGUGAAGAAGGCCUUUUGGUUGUAAAGCACUUUAAGCAGGGAGGAGAGGCUAAUGGUUAAUACCCAUUAGAUUAGACGUUACCUGCAGAAUAAGCACCGGCUAACUCUGUGCCAGCAGCCGCGGUAAUACAGAGGGUGCGAGCGUUAAUCGGAAUUACUGGGCGUAAAGCGAGUGUAGGUGGCUCAUUAAGUCACAUGUGAAAUCCCCGGGCUUAACCUGGGAACUGCAUGUGAUACUGGUGGUGCUAGAAUAUGUGAGAGGGAAGUAGAAUUCCAGGUGUAGCGGUGAAAUGCGUAGAGAUCUGGAGGAAUACCGAUGGCGAAGGCAGCUUCCUGGCAUAAUAUUGACACUGAGAUUCGAAAGCGUGGGUAGCAAACAGGAUUAGAUACCCUGGUAGUCCACGCCGUAAACGAUGUCUACUAGCCGUUGGGGUCCUUGGGACUUUAGUGGCGCAGUUAACGCGAUAAGUAGACCGCCUGGGGAGUACGGCCGCAAGGUUAAAACUCAAAUGAAUUGACGGGGGCCCGCACAAGCGGUGGAGCAUGUGGUUUAAUUCGAUGCAACGCGAAGAACCUUACCUGGUCUUGACAUAGUGAGAAUCCCGCAGAGAUGCGGGAGUGCCUUCGGGAAUUCACAUACAGGUGCUGCAUGGCUGUCGUCAGCUCGUGUCGUGAGAUGUUGGGUUAAGUCCCGCAACGAGCGCAACCCUUUUCCUUAUUUGCCAGCGGGUUAAGCCGGGAACUUUAAGGAUACUGCCAGUGACAAACUGGAGGAAGGCGGGGACGACGUCAAGUCAUCAUGGCCCUUACGACCAGGGCUACACACGUGCUACAAUGGUAGGUACAGAGGGUUGCUACACAGCGAUGUGAUGCUAAUCUCAAAAAGCCUAUCGUAGUCCGGAUUGGAGUCUGCAACUCGACUCCAUGAAGUCGGAAUCGCUAGUAAUCGCAGAUCAGAAUGCUGCGGUGAACACGUUCCCGGGCCU
rnacentral:rRNA from 1 species